GUUCCGCCACGUUUGAGCGGGCGAGCCCGGCGGCCGGGAGACGCCAGGGAACGGGGCUGGUGGGGGUACAAAGGCUCGGUUCCGUCGCCUUCAGCCCUGCGGUGGGGGCACGGGGCAAGUGAGGGGACGGCAGAGGCGGCGUUCGGUGUGAGGCUGCGCCCUGGGCUCCUGAAAAUCCAGGGCUGCAGUCAUUUGAAGGCUUGACUGGGGCUGGAGGAUUUUCAUCCAAGAUGGCUCACUCACCCAGCUGUUGGCAGGAGACCUCGGUUCUUUGACUUCUCCGUAAGACUGUAGAUAGGAUCUCACUCUGUCACCCAGGCUGGAGUGCAGUGGCAUGAUCAAACUCCUGGGCUCAAGUGAUCCUCUGCCUCAAACUCCUGAGUAGCUAAGACUACAGCUCUGUGCCCCCAUGCCUAGGGACUGGGGACUAAAGGCAAUAGCUUGACUUCUGAAAAGGGCUGGACUGAAGGUCAGCCACAUGGGCAGUGUGAAGGAUCCCCAGCAAAACUCUGGACAUCAGUGGCUGGGCAAGCUUCUCUGGUUGGCGGUACUCUGCAUAUUGUCACACAUCAACUCUGGGAGAAGAUCAUACUGUUCAUGUCUCCACAAGGGGAGGACAGCUGGAAACUCAGUGUCUGGACCUCUUUCCUUGGCUGAUUUUAUUGUGUAUCCUUUCAUUACAAUAAGCUGUAGCCCUGAAUAUAACAGCUUUCAGUGGGCUCUGAGAGUCAUUUUAGUGAGUUAUCAAAACUAAGGGCAGUUUGGGAAUCCCCCUUACUCGUACUUGGUAUCAGAAGCAAGGAUGGCAACCUGUGGGGACUGGUCCCCCUAACCUACAUAGUUGGCCUCAACUCCUGCCAACUCUGUCUCUCUCUCAAACUAAACCCUAGAGUACCUUGUAAUUACUUACCCUUCUUUGAAGAAAGUUAUAUGCCUGAUUUCGUCCUUUUCUCAUUUCUCAUUUACACUUCAGCUAAUUGUGAUUAGACUUGUUCUCACUGUUCCACUCUAAAUGCUCUGACAGAGAUCAUGAAUAAUUGCCUGUUUGCAGCUCAGUCAUCUAUUUGACGGAGUCUCACUCUGUUGCCAGGCUGGAGUGCAGUGGCACGAUCUCGGCUCACCACAACCUCUGCCACCUGGGUUCAAGCGAUUCUCCUGCCUCAGCCUCCUGAGUAGCUGGGAUUACAGGCAAGUGCCACCACGCCCAGCUAAUUUUUGUAUUUUUAGUAGAGACAGGAAUUCACCAUGUUGGCCAGGAUGGUCUUGAUCUCCUGACUUCGUGAUCCACCUGCCUCGGCCUCCCAAAGUGCUGGGAUUACAGGCAUGAGCCACUACACCCAGCUGAGCAUUUGACAUUAUUAACUAGCGCCUGGUUCUUUCUCCUGGGACUCCUAUUUUUCUGACUAUUUCUUCUCAUUUCCUUUGCUUAUACUUUUCCUUUGUGUACCUCUUAAACCCUGGUGUUUUCUGGCAUCUGAUCUCAGAAUUCUUCUCUCUCAUCUUUCUACACUCUCUCUAGUAGGUCUCCUUCACUUUGACCACUGUAAUUCCCACCCAAACACAAUGACUCUGCAUCUUUAUCGCUCACUUAGGCCACACCCCUGAGCUGUAGACAUGUAUCAUCAGCUCCCUUCUGGAUGUUCUUGCAUGACUCAAAUGGAACUUCACACGUUUCCCCCUCAGAACAGCUCUGCCUUCUGUGUUUCUGACAUUGGUGAAUAAUUAGUGUCGUCAUCUACCUAGGCACAGAUGCCAGAGACCUGGCUGUCGGCCUCCACUUCUCCCUCUCUUUACUGCCUCAUCCAGUCACCAAAGCCUUUGAGCCUACAGUGUUACGGACAUGUGCCAUUUUCUCCAUCCCUGGCAGCUGCGGUGCAGCCAUAUGACACGUAUUUGGCCAAUUGGUUGCUCACUUUGGAUUUUAAAUUUGGUUUCCCUUCUUCUAUCCAUGGCCUUUCAGUUUCGUUUCCAAAGAAUGCUUUUUAAAAAAUAUUAGUCAGGCCAGGCAUAGUGGCUCAUGCCUAUCAUCCCAACACUUGGGGAGGCAGAAGCCAAGGGAUCACUUGAGGCCAGGAAUUUGAGACCAGCGUGGGCAAGAUAGCAAGACCCUAUCUCUACAAAUUAAAAAAAAAAUUAGCCAUGUUUGGUGGUUCACACUUGUAGUUCCAGCUACUUGGAAAGCUGAGGCAGGAGGAUUGCUUAACCAGGAGUAUGAGGCUGCAGUGAGAUUAUACCACUGUGCUCCAGCCUGGGCAGCAGAGUGAGACCUUGUCUCUUAAAAAAAAAAAGUUAGAUCAUGUCACUCCCUGCUCAACAUUGUCUAAUAACUUUCCAUCAUAUUUAGUAUCAAAUUCAAAGUCAUGAUUGGUUGCCCGGAACAAUAAUGUUCUACAUGAUCAACUCGUAGCUCACUCUCCAUGUUCACUUCUGCCAUUUUCCUAUUGCUCAACUGCUCUCUAGCCCCCAUGUUGUGCCUACAGCCUGCCAAGCACACUCUGGACUCAGACAGCUGUUCCUUUUGCCUGACAUGUUCUUCUCACUGAUUUUUUUUUUUUUUUUUUUUUUUUUUUGAGACAGGAUCUCCCUCUGUCACCCAGGCUGGAGUACAGUGGUGCCAUCUCAGCUUACUGCAGCCUCAACCUCCUGGGGUCUAAGUGAUUCUCUCACUUCAGCCUCCUAAAUAGCUGUAACUACAGGCAUGCACUACCCCCAGCCCUGGCUACUUUUUUAAAAUUAUUAGUAGAGACGUAGUCUCCCUGUGUUGCCUGGGCUGGUCUCUAACCCCUGAGCUCAAGUGAUCCUCCCACCUUGGCCUCCCAAAGUGCUGGGAUUACAGGCAUGAGCCACCGCGCCUGGCCCUUCUCACUGCCUCUUACGUGAUUCACUCUCUUACUGCAGGUCUUCACUCAAAUGAGAGAGAGACUUUCUAUGACCAUCCUACUGAGUAAAAUAGCCACCACUCUCCCAAGUCAUUCUCUGAUCCGUACCCUACUUCAUUAUUGUUCAAAGCACUUCCCACGGUCCAAUGUUGUAUUGUUUACUCAUUUGCUUACUGGUCUAUUUUCUACCUCUCUGACUAGAAUGUAAACUCCACAGUGGCCAUGGGACAUGCCAGCAACACCUCCUUGUCAUCUAACGAUCAAAAUCAUGCAAUGCAUUGAUACCCCCUUGCGGGAAAGGUGCAGUGCAACCUCCAAAUGAGAACCAGUGCUAGAAGUGAACUGGACACAUAGGAAAUUGUGGUUAGAGAUGCAGAUGCUCCCUUUUUAAUUAUUAUUAUUAUUUGUAGAGAUGGGGUCCUGCUGUGUUGCCAAGGCUGGUCUCUAACUCCUAGGCUCAAGAGAUCCUCCCGCCUCAGACUCCCAAAGUGUUAGGAUUACAGGCAUGAGCCACCAUACCCGGCCUCAUUUUUAUUGACCUGAUUUCCGUCAUAGCCUGCAAGAUGCUUUGUUUUGAUUGUUUAUUUUCACUUCUGCCUCCUUCGGUAAACCUGUGAGUGUCCUGAGUGGGGGUCAAGAUUUGUUUGAGUGUAUGAUCUAAUCUGAAUACACACGUGUGUGUGCAUGUGUGUAUUUUUCUCCCUGUUGGAUUGCUCAGCCUCCACAGCCUGUUCUUCUCCACUGUGAUACACCAGGUGUCCUUCAGCAGGUGUAGUGAAACAAAGCAGAGGCUUUGACGUCACCCACGCUGGCCCUCGUGUGACUCACGGCCCAGCCCUGAGCCAGAAUCUGCUCCUGUUAUUACGGGUAUGAUUGUCUCCAUUUUACAAAUGAAGAUAUGGAGGCUCAUAUUCUUCAUCUGCAACUCAUUGAUGGAUAACCAGGUAGCCCUUGCAACCUAACGUUUGCUGUUGCCUCCAUUACAAAAACCUCUAUGCUCAGCCCUCAGUCAUGAUUUUAGAGAGGGCUCCUCAGGUAUCAAGAGAAAAUGCUGACCGACAGUGUCAUUAUUUCAGGUCGAGGUGACUGAUAGCCCUGCAGUCCUCUCUUCUCUCUAUGCUGAGGGAGAAUGACCUUUGAUUUGUGGCACUCACAGGGGCUGGCAAGGCCUGCAGUCAUUUGCAGCUGAUUCUGCUGCUUUGUGUCAUGAGACAUUAAGUGACCUGCUUGGAUUCACUGAACUAAUUAGUGGCAUAGCUGGGAUUGGAACUCAAUAUUCCCUUCUCCAAAUGAUGGGGUUCCCUCUGUGCUUGGUGUCUUCUUGACUUCUAAUGUGUCUGAAAUGCAUAAUUGUUAGAACCCUGGGCCCCUGUAACCUUCACCGGUCAACUCUCAUCACCCCAAGCACCCUGAUGGAUUCGCGGAGCACAGAGGACAAUCCCAGCAAACGUGUUUAUCAUCAAUGAGGGCUUUUGUUGCCGUCUCUUGUACCUUGGUGACUUGGGAUAGAGCACACAUAAACCUCCAGGAUUAUUUUUCACCCUUUUAGUUUAAGGACUAGGAUGAAUGAACAACUCUUGGCCUAUUUUGUUAACCUUAACUCACACCUACUUUUUGCCCUGUGACCGAGGCAUGAAAAUACGUGUUUUUUUCCUUUAGGCCUAGAACAAAGCUGCCACCUUCCCCCACAGUGGUGUUUUUUAAAUGCUUGGUUAUGACCAAUUAGAGGAUUGUAAAAUCAGUGUAGUGGGGUGACGAGCAUUAAAAAAUAGAACAGGAUAUAAAAUAAAAAAGUAGUAGUAGAGUACUGUUCUGUGAAAUCUUUUAUCAGUCAUGUGUGCAUAUGAAUGAAUGUGUACAUGUGUAUGUGUAUAUGUGUGCAUGUGCAUGUGAUCACAAUUUAAAAUGUAUUUCUCAUUAUACUUUGGGGUAAAAUAAUAGGUGUUUUCAACUUGCAGGUGAUAAUUAUGAUUUGGCAGAAUGUAUCCGAAUGUCAUACCACUCCAGGUAGAUUAGAGUCUCUGGAGGGAGGGGCUAGGUGUGUAUGUUUUUAAGUUCCUCAAUUGAUUAUGGCAUUAUCUUUCUUGCUACCUCCCCAACUCUCUCUCCUCUGUCUCUCUUUCACACACACACAUACACACACACACACACACUCCACAGUUGUUGCUAACAACCAUAUCUUAUUCAUCUGAGUAUCCCCCUAUGACUGAAGUAGUGGCUGGCACUCCCAGGGCACUCAAUAAAUGCUUAUAAUUGUCAAAUGGCAAAGGCUUGAAGGCUAAAAAGUGAAAUUUAUAUAGUUUUCUUUCAUCAUGCCCAGCACACAUUUUGCACUUGGUAAUGCCACUCAGUGUGUUCAUGAUGACUUAUGGAAAACAAAAAUACAAUAAUGAGAAGCCAAAUGGCUAAAACACGCAGGUGUAAUGAAUAGCCAUUGGACUGAGCUGGCCUUCACCACCCCAGAAUAAAGCUCUUUCCCCCUCAAUGCACUUGAACAAACCAAUCCAAACCAGGAAACCUCAGAAAAGGAGUGACUGUCACCUCCCUAAGUAAUAGAGUCGAUCUCCUCUUAACCUUGGUGACCCUCAAAAACCAGUAAAUUCCUUCUUUUAUCUAUCCUAAAUCCUUUAUAUUACCCUUUAAGCCAAUUUUCUGUUGUACUGUAUUCAAUGGGAAUUGAAAACAGCUGGUCACCAUCUGCUGUAGAUUAAUUCUUCAUGUACUUGAAGCCUAUAAUUAGGUCAUUCCUCAGCCUUCUCUUCUCCAGGCUAAAUAUCUUAUUUCCUUUAGACUUUCCCAAAAGGUUUUAUUUUCCAAUUAUUUAAUUGUCUUCAUAGUGUUACUCUCAAUACCAGGAUCCCUGUCUCCACACACCUCAAGUUGAGAAGGCUGAUCAGUGUGAAGGGUCAUGGGCAUUUAAAGUCACCACUGCCACUUUCAGGGAGUUCUUUUCUGUGAGUUGUUUAUUUUCUGAGGGCCAUUUAGAAAUGCACAGCAGCCUUCAACUGAACAGGACCCUGUCACCCUGAAAUUGGAAACAUGAAGCAGAAUAUUAUGCUUUACUUCUCCCCUAAUUUCAGAUACAGAUAAGCUGGACUAUAACCUUGAUUUUGCAUCCCAAAGUCUCUGAAUUAGCCAGUGCAAAUUGUGGGAUGUAAUUCUCAUCCUCAAUUAUAAAUGUGUCAUUAUAAUAGCAUUCUUUUUUUUUUUUUUUUUUUUUUUUUUGCGACAGAGUCUCGCUCUGUCGCCCAAGCUGGAGUGCAAUGGCGCAAUCUCAGCUCAUUGCAACCUCCUCCGCCUCCUGGGUUCAAGCGAUUCUCCUGCUUCAGCUUCUUGAGUAGCUGGGAUUACAGGCGCACGCCACCAUGCCCGACUAAUUUUUGUAUUUUUAGUAGAGACGGGGUUUCACCAUGUUAGUCAGCUGGUCUCAAAUUCCGGACCUCAUGAUCCGCCCACCUCGGCCUCC
rnacentral:lncRNA from 10 species